AGAGUUUGAUCCUGGCUCAGGACGAACGCUGGCGGCGUGCCUAAUACAUGCAAGUCGAGCGCGGGAAGCGAGUGGAUCCCUUCGGGGUGAAGCUCGUGGAACGAGCGGCGGACGGGUGAGUAACACGUGGGCAACCUGCCUGUAAGACCGGAAUAACCCCGGGAAACCGGGGCUAAUGCCGGGUAAUACUUUUCUUCGCAUGAAGGAAAGUUGAAAGAUGGCUUCUUGCUAUCACUUACAGAUGGGCCCGCGGCGCAUUAGCUAGUUGGUGAGGUAACGGCUCACCAAGGCGACGAUGCGUAGCCGACCUGAGAGGGUGAUCGGCCACACUGGGACUGAGACACGGCCCAGACUCCUACGGGAGGCAGCAGUAGGGAAUCUUCCGCAAUGGACGAAAGUCUGACGGAGCAACGCCGCGUGAACGAUGAAGGUCUUCGGAUCGUAAAGUUCUGUUGUUAGGGAAGAACAAGUACCGUGCGAAUAGAGCGGUACCUUGACGGUACCUAACGAGGAAGCCCCGGCUAACUACGUGCCAGCAGCCGCGGUAAUACGUAGGGGGCAAGCGUUGUCCGGAAUUAUUGGGCGUAAAGCGCGCGCAGGCGGUUCCUUAAGUCUGAUGUGAAAGCCCACGGCUCAACCGUGGAGGGUCAUUGGAAACUGGGGAACUUGAGGACAGAAGAGGAGAGUGGAAUUCCACGUGUAGCGGUGAAAUGCGUAGAUAUGUGGAGGAACACCAGUGGCGAAGGCGACUCUCUGGUCUGUUUCUGACGCUGAGGUGCGAAAGCGUGGGUAGCAAACAGGAUUAGAUACCCUGGUAGUCCACGCCGUAAACGAUGAGUGCUAGGUGUUAGGGGGCUUCCACCCCUUAGUGCUGAAGUUAACGCAUUAAGCACUCCGCCUGGGGAGUACGGCCGCAAGCUGAACUCAAAGGAAUUGACGGGGCCCGCACAAGCGGUGGAGCAUGGUGGUUUAAUUCGAAGCAACGCGAAGAACCUUACCAGGUCUUGACAUCCUUGGACAUCCCUAGAAGAUAAGGGCUUUCCCUUCGGGACAAGUGACAAGAGGGGUGCCAUGGUUGUCGUUCAGCUCUUGUC
rnacentral:rRNA from 1 species